rnacentral:rRNA from 1 species
GUGGCCCUACGGGACGCAGCAGUAGGGAAUCUUCCACAAUGGGCGAAAGCCUGAUGGAGCAACGCCGCGUGGGUGAAGAAGGUGUUCGGAUCGUAAAACCCUGUUGUUAGAGAAGAAAGUGCGUGAGAGUAACUGUUCACGUUUCGACGGUAUCUAACCAGAGAGCCACGGCUAACUACGUGCCAGCAGCCGCGGUAAUACGUAGGUGGCAAGCGUUAUCCGGAUUUAUUGGGCGUAAAGGGAACGCAGGCGGUCUUUUCAGUCUGAUGUGAAAGCCUUCGGC